rnacentral:rRNA from 1 species
AGAGUUUGAUCCUGGCUCAGGAUGAACGCUAGCUACAGGCUUAACACAUGCAAGUCGAGGGGCAGCAUGGUCUUAGCUUGCUAAGGCCGAUGGCGACCGGCGCACGGGUGAGUAACACGUAUCCAACCUGCCGUCUACUCUUGGACAGCCUUCUGAAAGGAAGAUUAAUACAAGAUGGCAUCAUGAGUCCGCAUGUUCACAUGAUUAAAGGUAUUCCGGUAGACGAUGGGGAUGCGUUCCAUUAGAUAGUAGGCGGGGUAACGGCCCACCUAGUCUUCGAUGGAUAGGGGUUCUGAGAGGAAGGUCCCCCACAUUGGAACUGAGACACGGUCCAAACUCCUACGGGAGGCAGCAGUGAGGAAUAUUGGUCAAUGGGCGAGAGCCUGAACCAGCCAAGUAGCGUGAAGGAUGACUGCCCUAUGGGUUGUAAACUUCUUUUAUAAAGGAAUAAAGUCGGGUAUGCAUACCCGUUUGCAUGUACUUUAUGAAUAAGGAUCGGCUAACUCCGUGCCAGCAGCCGCGGUAAUACGGAGGAUCCGAGCGUUAUCCGGAUUUAUUGGGUUUAAAGGGAGCGUAGAUGGAUGUUUAAGUCAGUUGUGAAAGUUUGCGGCUCAACCGUAAAAUUGCAGUUGAUACUGGAUAUCUUGAGUGCAGUUGAGGCAGGCGGAAUUCGUGGUGUAGCGGUGAAAUGCUUAGAUAUCACGAAGAACUCCGAUUGCGAAGGCAGCCUGCUAAGCUGCAACUGACAUUGAGGCUCGAAAGUGUGGGUAUCAAACAGGAUUAGAUACCCUGGUAGUCCACACGGUAAACGAUGAAUACUCGCUGUUUGCGAUAUACAGCAAGCGGCCAAGCGAAAGCGUUAAGUAUUCCACCUGGGGAGUACGCCGGCAACGGUGAAACUCAAAGGAAUUGACGGGGGCCCGCACAAGCGGAGGAACAUGUGGUUUAAUUCGAUGAUACGCGAGGAACCUUACCCGGGCUUAAAUUGCAGAUGAAUUACGGUGAAAGCCGUAAGCCGCAAGGCAUCUGUGAAGGUGCUGCAUGGUUGUCGUCAGCUCGUGCCGUGAGGUGUCGGCUUAAGUGCCAUAACGAGCGCAACCCUUGUUGUCAGUUACUAACAGGUCAUGCUGAGGACUCUGACAAGACUGCCAUCGUAAGAUGUGAGGAAGGUGGGGAUGACGCCAAAUCAGCACGGCCCUUACGUCCGGGGCUACACACGUGUUACAAUGGGGGGUACAGAGGGCCGCUACCACGCGAGUGGAUGCCAAUCCCAAAAACCUCUCUCAGUUCGGACUGGAGUCUGCAACCCGACUCCACGAAGCUGGAUUCGCUAGUAAUCGCGCAUCAGCCACGGCGCGGUGAAUACGUUCCCGGGCCUUGUACACACCGCCCGUCAAGCCAUGGGAGCCGGGGGUACCUGAAGUGCGUAACCGCGAGGAGCGCCCUAGGGUAAAACUGGUGACUGGGGCUAAGUCG